AGUGAACGCUGGCGGUAGGCCUAACACAUGCAAGUCGAACGGCAGCACAGUAAGAGCUUGCUCUUACGGGUGGCGAGUGGCGGACGGGUGAGGAAUACAUCGGAAUCUACUUUUUCGUGGGGGAUAACGGAGGGAAACUUACGCUAAUACCGCAUACUACCUACGGGUGAAAGCAGGGGAGCUUCGGACCUUGCGCGAUUGAAUGAGCCGAUGUCGGAUUAGCUAGUUGGCGGGGUAAAGGCCCACCAAGGCGACGAUCCGUAGCUGGUCUGAGAGGAUGAUCAGCCACACUGGAACUGAGACACGGUCCAGACUCCUACGGGAGGCAGCAGUGGGGAAUAUUGGACAAUGGGCGAAAGCCUGAUCCAGCCAUACCGCGUGGGUGAAGAAGGCCUUCGGGUUGUAAAGCCCUUUUGUUGGGAAAGAAAAGCAGCAGGUUAAUACCCCGCUGUUCUGACGGUACCCAAAGAAUAAGCACCGGCUAACUUCGUG
rnacentral:rRNA from 1 species